rnacentral:misc_RNA from 1 species
GAUGAAGAACGUAGCGAAAUGUGAUAAGUAAUGUGAAUUGCAGAAUUCAGUGAAUCAUCGAGUCUUUGAACGCACAUUGCGCCCCCUGGUAUUCCGGGGGGCAUGCCUGUCCGAGCGUCAUUGCUGCCCUCAAGCACGGCUUGUGUGUUGGGCCUCCGUCCUCCUCCCGGGGGACGGGCCCGAAAGGCAGCGGCGGCACCGCGUCCGGUCCUCGAGCGUAUGGGGCUUCGUCACCCGCUCUUGUAGGCCCGGCCGGCGCUUGCCGACACAUCAAUCUUUUUUCCAGGUUGACCUCGGAUCAGGUAGGGAUACCCGCUGAACUUAAGCAUAUCAAUAAGCGGAGGA